UAGUAAAGAAAAGGCUCUAGGA
rnacentral:piRNA from 1 species